AAUAAGGUGGUGGAGGUGAUGGUGAGGGAGGUGGUGGUGAUUUGUAGUAGUAUGGAGGAGGGGGAGAUGGAGAUGGAGGUGGUGGUGACUUGUAAUAGUAAGGUGGUGGUGGAGAAGGAGAGGGUGGUGGAGGAGACUUGUAUUCAUAGUGAGGCUUAGGAGAUGGUGGUGGUGGAGACUUGUAUUCAUAUGGUGGUGGUGGUGAUGGGGAAGGUGGUGGUGGUGACUUGUACUCAUAAUGAGGCUUAGGAGAUGGUGGUGGUGGUGACUUGUAUUCAUAAUGAGGUUUGGGAGAUGGAGGUGGUGGUGACUUGUCUUCAUAAGGUGGUGGUGGAGACGGAGAUGGUGGUGGGGGAGACUUGUAUUCAUAAGGGGGUGGUGGAGAUGGAGAUGGUGGGGGGGGGGACUUGUAUUCAUAAUGAGGCUUGGGAGAUGGAGGCGGUGGGGACUUGUAUUCAUAAGGCGGUGGUGGAGAUGGAGAUGGUGGGGGGGGGGACUUGUAUUCAUAAUGAGGCUUGGGAGAUGGAGGCGGUGGGGACUUGUAUUCAUAAGGCGGUGGUGGAGAUGGAGAUGGUGGGGGGGGGGACUUGUAUUCAUAAUGAGGCUUGGGAGAUGGAGGCGGUGGGGACUUGUAUUCAUAAGGUGGUGGUGGAGAUGGAGAAGGUGGUGGGGGAGACUUGUACUCAUAAUGAGGCUUGGGAGAUGGAGGCGGUGGGGACUUGUAUUCAUAAGGUGGUGGGGGAGAUGGAGAAGGUGGUGGGGGCGACUUGUACUCAUAAUGAGGUUUAGGAGAUGGAGGUGGUGGUGACUUAUAUUCAUAAGGUGGGGGUGGGGAUGGAGAAGGUGGGGGGGGAGACUUGUACUCAUAAUGAGGUUUAGGAGAUGGAGGUGGUGGUGACUUAUACUCAUAAGGUGGUGGAGGAGAAGGAGAUGGUGGUGGUGGUGACUUAUAUUCAUAAGGUGGUGGUGGGGAUGGAGAAGGUGGUGGGGGAGACUUGUACUCAUAAUGAGGUUUAGGAGAUGGAGGUGGUGGUGACUUAUACUCAUAAGGUGGGGGAGGAGAAGGAGAUGGUGGUGGUGGUGACUUAUAUUCAUAAGGUGGUGGUGGGGAUGGAGAUGGAGGUGGAGGAGACUUGUACUCGUAAUGAGGUUUAGGAGAUGGUGGUGGGGGUGACUUGUACUCAUAAGGAGGUGGUGGAGAAGGAGAAGGUGGAGGUGGUGACUUAUAUUCAUAAUGAGGUUUAGGUGAUGGUGGAGGUGGUGAUUUAUACUCAUAAGGAGGUGGUGGAGAAGGAGAAGGUGGAGGUGGAGAAUAGUAAGGAUAAGCAUCUCCUGAUACUGAACUUACACUACUUGAAACAAAAACUACAGCCAACGCUAUGGCCAAGUGAGGCCAAAGACGACCCCACCCGGGGCCGCCGCCGGAACUUCUCAUUUCUU
rnacentral:lncRNA from 1 species